CAACUUUCAACAACGGAUCUCUUGGCUCUCGCAUCGAUGAAGAACGCAGCGAAAUGUGAUAAGUAAUGUGAAUUGCAGAUUUCAGUGAAUCAUCGAAUCUUUGAACGCACCUUGCACCCUUUGGUAUUCCAAAGGGUACACCCGUUUGAGUGUCAUU
rnacentral:rRNA from 1 species